rnacentral:rRNA from 1 species
AUCAGCCUUUCGGGUGCGAUUCUGUGGAGUUUGAGGAGCUUAACACCUUCAUGCUUUGCAUAUUCGUGCUCUUGGGUGUACUUGUUCGUAUGGUUGGUUAACACCAAUUUUGGUGGUCAUAAAAUGACUGGAGGAAUGUAGCUUCGAUCUCGUAUUGAAGUGUUAUAGCCUUCGGUAGAUGUGAUGACUGAGAUUGAGGAUUGCAACGGAUACCCUUCGGGGCUACCUGUCUGAUCUCUGAUCGUUGCUCUGGUGCCGAAAGCUUGCUUACGGUUGUCAAAGUCGAUGGUCAAUAGGUUAGAAUGGGUUAAAUUCGUUAAGGAUGUUGACGUAAUGGCUUU